ACGGCCAUUCUUCAUGAAAUGAGUAUGUCACAUUUUUUGAGGAAUACUGUUUACACCGAUGCAAUAACCAUUUACUGUAAAAGCGCUUGACUUAUCUCUUCUCUUGAUAACAGGAUGUAUAAUGUCGUGGAGAAGGACUGGUUGGGAUUGUAGCCCAAUGCUGGACCUGUAAAGAAAAUGGGAUUAUCCUACCACCGUCACACGGCCUAGCACUGUGUCCCUGGGAAAUGAUGGUGUCAACUCUGGACUGGUGGAGGAGAACACAUUGGGGGCCCAGGAAAACUGCUGGCAGCCAG